AUGUUGCCGAUGACGCUUUUUAUUCUCACCACAGGUCGUUUCAGACAAGUGCAAGUGCUCACGUCAAUGGCCAACGCGUUCUACUCCCUCUACUCCCACGUGUCCCGCACUCCCGUGCAGAAACUGGCCACGCCGGAGUUCACCUUCUCCUCGUCUCCCGUGGAGAGGAUCGACCGCUUCAGGAGCGCCGUCCGCAGCGAGCCACGUUCUCCCGUGGAGAGGCUCAAGGACACCGUCUCCAAGAUGUGCCUCUACACAGGUUCUCCUCGGGGGUCCGACUCCACCUCCCCGCAGGCCUCGCCCAGAAAGAGGUCGAGCCUCGGCGACGUUGUGGAUAUAGUCCUUCUGAAAGUCAAGACUGGGGCCACCGAGAAAUUGGGUUCGGGGUUAAGCGACAGGAAUAAAUCGGCCGUGGACGUCAGGCUCACGACGCAUGGUGAGACGCCACGCGACAGCGAGGUGGAGGAGGAAACGCAGCAGGCCGCGGCGGACACGGACGGUCUUCAGGAGGCCAAUCCGAUCCGUCAUAAGGAGGUGAAGGGCAGUAAACAAACAGAUAAUGCGGAUGCCGUCAUACCAGGAGACCUUGACAGGAGGACUCACAGUGAAGGAACGUCCUCGGCGUCAUUGACGGAAGAAACUGCGCAAGAAAAAGAUCAUCGGUUCAUUUCCUAUCAGUGUGACACAAGGACUGCUGAUCCGAAACCAGUUGCAAAGAUUACUUACGAUCUAAUCUGCCCGCAGAUAGUGGAAAGUGUUCAGCAGAGGCCUUUUUGCUCUCAGGACACACAUGGUACAAAAACAAACGCCUCACCUCCAGUGUCCUCUGAGACUGGGAGCAUAGAUGUAUCACGCGCGGGCUCACAUGGGCCCGAUGCACAAACCGCUGUCUCUGAGCCUGAUGCCGGGUCACUUCCUGUCCUGGUCGCAAGCGUUAGCUACGCCCAGUGCUGCAUCACCGUGACGGGCUGGGAGGGGGACAACGUCUCGUCCACUGUCCCACCCGUCCAGGCCUGUGAGGAGACAUCUAACACGUCGGAAAGGCGGUACCUGAAUCCACAGAUGCACCAGGGCCUCUGUGACGACUCCAAUAACCUGCAACAGACCAACUCCUUUGAGCUAGAGGAGGUCCAGAGUGCAGGAGAAGAGGAUUUGGGACAAUUAGAAACUACACAAACAGCAACCUUACAGUUGUCCAAAAACCAUCAAUCCAAAGGUGACGUGGUCCGGGGGGACAGCAUGCAGUCAGACAGCAGCGGCUACGCAGACGAAGAAGUCAGCUCCUCAUCACCAAACGCACAAAGCAGAUGA
ensembl:lncRNA